rnacentral:ncRNA from 1 species
GCAUCAGGUCUCCAAGGUGAACAGCCUCUCGCCAAUGGAACAAUGUAGGCAAGGGAAGUCGGCAAAACGGAUCCGUAACAUCGGGAAAACAAUUGGCUCUGAGGACUGGGCUCGGGGGUCCCGGCCCCGAACCCGGCAGCUGUUGGCGGAUUGCUCGAGCUGCUCACGCGGCGAGAGCGGGUCGCCGCGUGCCGGCCGGGGG